AUACCAGAAAGUAUAAAUAUACAACAAAGUUGUUUUUUUCAUUUGUCAAUUACUAUGAUUGCUGUUGUUGAUCUUGAGAAAUGCUUGAAGUUCUUCAUUAAUGAAGUAGAUAACUAAUAUCUUAUAAUGUGAUCAUGGCAGCCAAAAGUGUUAAUAUAAUCUUUUAUUUUAACUAAAUAAAUAGAAAUAAUAGUGAUCUGUGAUAUACCAAUUAUUAGUUUUUCCUUGUUUGAAGACCAUCAUCAUUGUUUGAUUAUUUACUUAUUAU
rnacentral:lncRNA from 1 species